rnacentral:rRNA from 1 species
UGGUUAAUUCGAAGCAACGCGAAGAACUUACCAGGCCUUGACAUGCAGAGAACUUUCCAGAGAUGGAUUGGUGCCUUCGGGAACUCUGACACAGGUGCUGCAUGGCUGUCGUCAGCUCGUGUCGUGAGAUGUUGGGUUAAGUCCCGUAACGAGCGCAACCCUUGCCUUUAGUUGCCAGCAGUUCGGCUGGGCACUCUAAAGGGACUGCCGGUGUUAAACCGGAGGAAGGUGGGGAUGACGUCAAGUCCUCAUGGCCUUUAUGACCAGGGCUACACACGUACUACAAUGGCCGAUACAAAGGGCAGCGACACUGCGAGGUGAAGCCAAUCCCGUAAAAUCGGUCUCAGUCCGGAUUGGAGUCUGCAACUCGACUCCAUGAAGUUGGAAUCGCUAGUAAUCGUGGAUCAGCAUGCCACGGUGAAUACGUUCCCGGGCCUU